rnacentral:rRNA from 1 species
CAGUAGCCGCGGUAAUACGUAGGGUGCGAGCGUUAAUCGGAAUUACUGGGCGUAAAGCGUACGCAGGCGGUUGUGUAAGACAGGUGUGAAAUCCCCGGGCUUAACCUGGGAACUGCGCUUGUGACUGCACAGCUAGAGUAUGGCAGAGGGGGGUGGAAUUCCACAUGUAGCAGUGAAAUGCGUAGAGAUGUGGAGGAACACCGAUGGCGAAGGCAGCCCCCUGGGCCAAUACUGACGCUCAUGCACGAAAGCGUGGGGAGCAAACAGGAUUAGAUACCCCUGUAGUCCCUGUCUCUUAUAC